rnacentral:rRNA from 1 species
UACGUAGGUGGCAAGCGUUGUCCGGAAUUAUUGGGCGUAAAGAGCGCGCAGGCGGUCCUUUAAGUCUGAUGUGAAAGCCCACGGCUCAACCGUGGAGGGUCAUUGGAAACUGGGGGACUUGAGUACAGAAGAGGAAAGCGGAAUUCCACGUGUAGCGGUGAAAUGCGUAGAGAUGUGGAGGAACACCAGUGGCGAAGGCGGCUUUCUGGUCUGUAACUGACGCUGAGGCACGAAAGCGUGGGGAGCAAACAGG